CCUACGGGUUGCAGCAGUGGGGAAUAUUGGACAAUGGGCGAAAGCCUGAUCCAGCAAUGCCGCGUGUGUGAAGAAGGUCUUCGGAUUGUAAAGCACUUUCGACGGAGACGAUGAUGACGGUACCCGUAGAAGAAGCCCCGGCUAACUUCGUGCCAGCAGCCGCGGUAAUACGGAGGGUGCAAGCGUUAAUCGGAAUUACUGGGCGUAAAGCGCACGCAGGCGGUUUGUUAAGUCAGAUGUGAAAUCCCCGGGCUUAACCUGGGAACUGCAUUUGAGACGCAUAGACUAGAGGUCGAGAGAGGGUUGUGGAAUUCCCAGUGUAGAGGUGAAAUUCGUAGAUAUUGGGAAGAACACCGGUGGCGAAGGCGGCAACCUGGCUCGAUACUGACGCUGAGGCGCGAAAGCGUGGGGAGCAAACAGGAUUAGAUACCCUUGUAGUC
rnacentral:rRNA from 1 species